rnacentral:rRNA from 1 species
AUACGUAGGGGGCUAGCGUUAUCCGGAUUUACUGGGCGUAAAGGGUGCGUAGGUGGUUUCUUAAGUCAGGAGUGAAAGGCUACGGCUCAACCGUAGUAAGCCUUUGAAACUGGGAAACUUGAGUGCAGGAGAGGAGAGUGGAAUUCCUAGUGUAGCGGUGGAAUGCGUAGAUAUAUGGAAGAACACCAGUGGCGAAGGCGGCUGUCUGGUCUGUAACUGACGCUGAGGCUCGAAAGCAUGGGUAGC